AAGUGAAAGUGAAAGUAAGAAACGGCCCCCAGUGAAGUUUCCCAGCAGCCACAGCGUGUCUGACCAAAACAUGUUUUCAUAAAGCUUCAUAUACUGGAGGUGUCCGUGUGGAGUUUAGGGACAACCUGCUUUGGCUGAGUUUGACUUUUUAAAACUUGACUAAACUCUGCUCAUACUGAAGAAACCAAAAAACAUUGAAUGAAGACAUGUGGUCCUGGAGCCAGAAGACUGAUGCAUUUCACCUUCUCCUCAUUAACCUCUUCAUGGGACAUACUAUUAUCAAACAGACCAGAAUGGUGUUUCCUGAAGAGCUCUUCCCACUGCCAGUCUUCCCUAUCAGCACAAUCCUGAGACUCUCUGGGCUCUUCCUCAUCCUCACCUGUGAAAUAAGAAAG